rnacentral:rRNA from 1 species
AGAUUGAACGCUGGCGGCAGGCCUAACACAUGCAAGUCGAGCGGUAGAGAGGUGCUUGCACCUCUUGAGAGCGGCGGACGGGUGAGUAAUGCCUAGGAAUCUGCCUAGUGGUGGGGGAUAACGUUCGGAAACGGACGCUAAUACCGCAUACGUCCUACGGGAGAAAGCGGGGGACCUUCGGGCCUCGCGCCAUUAGAUGAGCCUAGGUCGAUUAGCUAGUUGGUGAGGUAAUGGCUCACCAAGGCGACGAUCCGUAACUGGUCUGAGAGGAUGAUCAGCCACACUGGAACUGAGACACGGCCAGACUCCUACGGGAGCAGCAGUAGGAAUAUGGACAUGGGCAAAGCCUGAUCCAGCAAUGCGCGUAGAGUG